GAUGAAGAACGUAGCGAAAUGCGAUACGUAAUGUGAAUUGCAGAAUUCAGUGAAUCAUCGAGUCUUUGAACGCACAUUGCGCCCCCUGGUAUUCCGGGGGGCAUGUCUGUCCGAGCGUCAUUGCUGCCCUCAAGCACGGCUUGUGUGUUGGGCCUCCGUCCUCCUCCCGGGGGACGGGCCCGAAAGGCAGCGGCGGCACCGCGUCCGGUCCUCGAGCGUAUGGGGCUUCGUCACCCGCUCUUGUAGGCCCGGCCGGCGCUUGCCGACACAUCAAUCUUUUUUCCAGGUUGACCUCGGAUCAGGUAGGGAUACCCGCUGAACUUAAGCAUAUCAAUAAGCGGAGGA
rnacentral:misc_RNA from 1 species